ensembl:lncRNA
UUUUAAUUCUCUUAGUACACUGUAAAAUUAUUUGUUGCUGCAUUAAAUGAAGUAUAAUCCAAAUGGCUGGUACAGUCAUUUCAACUCUUUGUGAAAGUGAAAACUUCUAAACUUUUAGUUAAUACAAAAUAUGUUGCCAUGAGUUAUUGAUCACAUUAUAUCAAUGACAAUCCCCCCCCCCCCUCUUUUUUGCAGUUUUACAUAAUACACCAACACUUUUACCUGUUCCCAUGCAAGUGGUGGCAGAAGCAUAUGCAGACAGUGAAGAACCCUCUCAGAAGACUGUCCUUUGGAGGAAGAACCUGAGUCCACACCUAGAGAAAGGCCUACAGAAAGGCUUGCAGAAGAGUCUGCACAAAGAACUAAUACAGAGGGUGACAUCCGUUCCCUCUAUAAAC